CAUUGCUUGCUAUCAAAGCCAUGCUGAUUAAUUUAAUAAUUAACAGCUGAGACUAAAAAGAGCUCGCCUAAGAAUUAAGGUUAAUAAAAUGUAAUACUAUUUUAAAAGAAUAUGAACAAAAAUAAUAAAAGUAGAUAAGGGUGUGUAGGGGCAUUAGGCAGCAUGCCCCUUUAAAAACCACGCAUCCUUGAGGCUCCUGUCUGGGCUGUGUGCCAGCACUCACAAUGAUAAGAGUCCUGGGCUUGGCCAACCCAGCUGCUUUCUUGUGGGAGAGUUAGCACCAAGACCCUCAUGGUCUGAGGGAACACAGAGGCUCUUGGGGGGGUGGGGGUCAGGGGUUCUGGUCCUUGGAAUGCUGGUCAUAAAGGAACGAUCUCCCUUGGCAAGUAUGCAGCCUUUGUUUCUCUGCCGGCUUAAGUCAAGCUUCUUUCUGUGAGGUAGCGGAUGCACAUUGCUGCCUGGCCGGCAGCCAUGGGACCUUCCCUCUUUCCUGCAGAGGUUCACCCAGGACCACUCUGUGACAAUUCAGGCUGCCUGGCUCCUUUGGCUGGACAGUGACUUCUGAACCAGAGUGAAGACAAUGAUCUCAGCAUGGUGCCCUAACUCUGCUCCCAAAGUCUCCUUAGAAGUGAGCCCAGAGAUGAUACCAAAGCAGAGAUUUCUUCUGACCUGGCGCAUGUAAACAUAGGAUUUCCUUCCACCUUUCCUAACUACACAGUCUCUGGCUUGUGCCAUUUAGUAGUUUGCAAUAUGAGCCUCGAGAUAAGAAGUUUCAAGAAGACAAGCUGACCUGGCUGCCUCCAUAAGUGAGAGCUGGCCUUAGACCCAUGACUGUUCCAGCAGCCCAAGGGAAGAAGAGCAGGAAAGAACUACUCUGAUUUUCUGAUUCUCCACCUCUCGUUAUGCAUGGCUACCUUGACCAAGAUAGUUCACCAAGAUAAACUACACAACGGAUGAUGCUAUACGAUGCUACAGCAGACAAUGGGAUGCCAAUAUGCGUAUAACACAAAUCCAACUUUAUAUGAGGGAUCCCCAUUUCCACAGAGAAGCUAAACAAACAAAAACCUGAUCGCCUCUUUUUCAUUUUUAACAUACAUUUUAAAGUGCUACCAAAUGUAGUAAAUAUGUCAGAGAAAUGAGUUUUAAAAUAUCUUCUUCCCGAUUUCAAGGAAGACUUUUUUGAAAAUUUCAUAAGGUUCUCUGGCCUGCUAUGCUUUCUAUGUUGACUGAUUUUUCUAUGAUCCCAUAAACCUUCAGUUGACAUGUGAACCAUAGUCUCAAAUUCAUCAACACAGUCACUGGGGAAGCUGGCCAAGUGUCUUUUGUGGCUGGAGUCUCUGUCACACAUCAUCGUGCUGCCUUUUGUUAAAUGGAGAAAUGCGUCUCAUAGAAAAUGCUUCAAUGCCACACAGAAUAGUAGAAAAAACUACAUUUAUAAAUACUCAGGUGUCUCAUGUUUCCUUUAAGAUUGUUUAAAAUCAUUUUUGUUUGUUACUUUAAUAUAU
rnacentral:lncRNA from 1 species